GCCCCGGUAAACGGCGGCCGUAACUAUAACGGUCCUAAGGUAGCGAAAUUCCUUGUCGGGUAAGUUCCGACCUGCACGAAUGGCGUAAUGAUGGCCAGGCUGUCUCCACCCGAGACUCAGUGAAAUUGAACUCGCUGUGAAGAUGCAGUGUACCCGCGGCAAGACGGAAAGACCCCGUGAACCUUUACUAUAGCUUGACACUGAACACUGGUCCUUGAUGUGUAGGAUAGGUGGGAGGCUUUGAAGCGUGGACGCCAGUCUGCGUGGAGCCAACCUUGAAAUACCACCCUUUAAUGGCUGGUGUUCUAACGUAGACCCGUAAUCCGGGUUGCGGACAGUGUCUGGUGGGUAGUUUGACUGGGGCGGUCUCCUCCCAAAGAGUAACGGAGGAGCACGAAGGUUAGCUAAUCCUGGUCGGACAUCAGGAGGUUAGUGCAAUGGCAUAAGCUAGCUUGACUGCGAGAGUGACGGCUCGAGCAGGUGCGAAAGCAGGUCAUAGUGAUCCGGUGGUUCUGAAUGGAAGGGCCAUCGCUCAACGGAUAAAAGGUACUCCGGGGAUAACAGGCUGAUACCGCCCAAGAGUUCAUAUCGACGGCGGUGUUUGGCACCUCGAUGUCGGCUCAUCACAUCCUGGGGCUGAAGUAGGUCCCAAGGGUAUGGCUGUUCGCCAUUUAAAGUGGUACGCGAGCUGGGUUUAGAACGUCGUGAGACAGUUCGGUCCCUAUCUGCCGUGGGCGCUGGAGAAUUGAGGGGGGCUGCUCCUAGUACGAGAGGACCGGAGUGGACGCAUCACUGGUGUUCGGGUUGUCAUGCCAAUGGCACUGCCCGGUAGCUAAAUGCGGAAAAGAUAAGUGCUGAAAGCAUCUAAGCACGAAACUUGCC
rnacentral:rRNA from 1 species